rnacentral:rRNA from 1 species
AUUGAACGCUGGCGGCAGGCCUAACACAUGCAAGUCGAGCGAGCGGCGGACGGGUGAGUAAUGUAUGGGGACUGCCCGAUAGAGGGGGAUAACUACUGGAAACGGUGGCUAAUCCCGCAUACUAUCGGAUAACCCAUAUGGGAUUAGCUAGUAGGUGGGGUAAAGGCUCACCUAGGCGACGAUCUCUAGCUGGUCUGAGAGGAUGAUGAGCCACACUGGAACUAAGGCACGGCCCGGACGCCUGCGGAGACAGCAGUGGAAAGUAUUGCACAAUGGGCGCAGGCCUGAUACAGCCAUGCCGCGUAUAUGAAGAAAACCUUAGGGUUGUAAAGUGCGUACAGCGGGGAGGCGUUACCCGCAGAAGAAGCACCGGCUAACUCCGUGCCAGCAGCCGCGGUAAUUC